AGCGAACGCUGGCGGCAGGCUUAACACAUGCAAGUCGAACGCCCCGCAAGGGGAGUGGCAGACGGGUGAGUAACACGUGGGAACGUACCCUUUGGUUCGGAAUAAGUUGGGGAAACUCAAGCUAAUACCGGAUAAGCCCUUCUGGGGAAAGGUUUCGUGCCGAAGGAUCGGCCCGCGUCUGAUUAGCUAGUUGGUGAGGUAAUGGCUCACCAAGGCGACGAUCAGUAGCUGGUAUGAGAGGAUGAUCAGCCACACUGGGACUGAGACACGGCCCAGACUCCUACGGGAGGCAGCAGUGGGGAAUAUUGGACAAUGGGGGCAACCCUGAUCCAGCCAUGCCGCGUGAGUGAUGAAGGCCUUAGGGUUGUAAAGCUCUUUUACCCGGGACGAUAAUGACUGUACCGGGAGAAUAAGCCCCGGCUAACUUCGUGCCAGCCGCCGCCGUAA
rnacentral:rRNA from 1 species